rnacentral:rRNA from 1 species
UACGUAGGGACCAAGCGUUGUUCGGAUUUACUGGGCGUAAAGGGCGCGUAGGCGGCGUGGUAAGUCACUUGUGAAAUCUCUGAGCUUAACUCAGAACGGCCAAGUGAUACUGCUGUGCUAGAGUGCAGAAGGGGCAAUCGGAAUUCUUGGUGUAGCGGUGAAAUGCGUAGAUAUCAAGAGGAACACCUGAGGUGAAGACGGGUUGCUGGGCUGACACUGACGCUGAGGAGCGAAAGCCAGGGGAGCAAACGGG